rnacentral:misc_RNA from 1 species
ACAGAUCCCAAGUUUUCGGAUGUCUGCGGUGAAAACAUAGACCUGUCUGAGAACCGGAAGCGAGCUAGAUGGCGCCACAAGUAUUCCGCCGGGCGGCUGUUUGUGUCUCGUCCCAUGCGAGAGGACGAGCAGCUGGACGUCUUAUUGGACGGGAGUGGUCACGUGGGAAUAGGCUUAAUCAAAUGUGACCCCGGUGAACUAAAACAUCUACGGGAGGAUGGUACCGGAAAUUGUAAACCGAAACUAGUGACCGACAUCCGGGUCCAUAGACGGGAGUGUUCAGUGAGCAUAAAACAGCGACAGGAGGUGAAAGCAACAAAAGUGGACAUCAAUUAUCUAGGUCAAAAGGUUGUGGUCAAGGUCAAUAAAGAUGAAAAGUUCUGGCUGACCUUUGAACUCAAGUUCGGCUCCGUUGUCGUUAAGUUCGGUAGCCCGGAUGUCUGCUUUCAUCCAAACAGCGGCAGGAACAUCCGCUUCCUGGACAAGGACCUGCGGUCAGCCAAACUAGACGUGGAGUACCCCGCGGUCACCUGCUGCCUCUGGCGGAAGUUGCGCAUUAACGAAUACGUGACAUUCAGUGUACUUCCGCUUAAAGAUGGCGACAAGGAUCCCUCUACGUAUCACGUAGUACUAGGCGUGAGCCAAUUAGAUGCAACUCAACUGCGGUCACGUGAUCCAGAGAGCUUCCGGUCGGAUUCACGUGUGCCGAUUCCCUAUCGAUGGAAAGUGAUUAAUCGUUUUGACAAAGACGUGUGUUACGGGGAAAUACGAGUGGGCAUCGGACCAAACGGGAAAAUCAGGGCAUUUCAUUCCGGGGGAUUCGAAACGGAAAUGGAUUUCGAUCCGGAAGUGAAGUGUUCACAAUAUCUUUUUGUUCUUAGUUUGUUCAGAACGGAAGUUCGGAUCAAGGACCUGGUAGUGGAGGAAACACAUUACGACUACGCUUUACAGUCCUUUCGGAAAGCCUCCACAAAGUCCAAGAGUGAAUCGUAUUACAUUGACAUUAUUGGGGACGAUGUUCCCAUUAAUUGUGACGAACAAAACGAACAAGAACUUAGGAGGGUAAAAAGCCGAAGUUAUCCGAUAGCAUUACAACAAACAGGAAAUGACCAAAGAACUUCCUUGGAUAUCCGUCCUCGGCAGCCGUCUGACAAUUAUUACGAUGACGUAGCUGUGGGGAUUCCCAAUGAGGAAUGCAUGGAUGACGCAGUUUACAAUGACGUCAUAAAUGACGUAAGUACUUACAGCGAAUCAAAGAUUGGCAGCAAUCAACAAUCAAUAAAAUCCGAACGCCAUUACGACGAAAUAGAUGUACAAAGUAUUAGUCCUAAAUCGGCGAAGAAGACAAACAAAUCUCCCCUUAUACUGAGAAAACCCGUCUCCAAACUGAUAGACAAAGUGGCAGGAAUCAAGAAUGUGUUUGUAAAACGAGCUGAGCACCCCUAUGACGAAGUGGACGACCCCACUCCCGCCCACGGCUUGGUUACUAACCUUAGGUCAGUCCCCUCUGUAGGAAGUGACGUUGUGGAGGAUACUUACUGGGAAGUGAAGGAAAUCACGCGGGUAGAGGAAGAGAAAGAACCACACCCAGUGAUCGUUAAAUCUGAAUCAGAAGACUCGGCUGUCGGCUGUAACUAUCUCCCAGAAAACAGCAAACCGAAGAAUAAUAAAGACACAAGGUCUGAUGUGAACGAGUCACUUCAGACACUAAAGAUUAGCGAGAAUCAAACCGACAACAAAACUCUCGGCUCAAAAGACAACCAGACAGACAGAAGCAUUAGAAAUGCCGGGAUGAGUCGUGAGAUAACUUCCGAUGAGGAAUCAUCCGGGAAUUCUGUGAACGUGAAGUUGUUAAUUCAGAAAUUCGGCGGAAAUGAGCAGGCGCAAACCUGCGCUGCUAGACAGAAAAAUCUCCGCACACCGCUGCUUCACACAAGCCCUUCAGCUCCAGUUCUCGCCAACAGAUCAAAUUCAGACGAGAGUCUCGCACAUUCUCGAAGUCAAGCAACGCUAUAUAACGAGAACGAUCCCGCGGCAGAAACCAACAAGAAAUCCGCCCUGCUGAGUGACACGUUUGACUCUAUAAACGUUCUGCUAAACAUUGGGAAAGGAAAGAAACGGAAAGAUAAAAAACAAAAAGUUAGUUCGAAAUAGAAUAAAACAAUGUAGAUCACCAUAUAUCUAACCUUUUCUACCUUUUGUGCCAUUUCAAUGCAAUACAUGUCUCUUUCUGCAUGAGAGAGAGAGAGAGAGAGAGAGAGAGAGAGAGAGAGAGAGAGAGAGAGCAAUGGAUUCUUGUCUCGAUAAAUAUUUCAUUAAAAUUAUAAAAAC